rnacentral:piRNA from 1 species
UCCUUUACACUUCCUUACUGCGA